rnacentral:rRNA from 1 species
ACUCAAAGGAAUUGACGGGGGCCCGCACAAGCAGCGGAGCGUGUGGUUUAAUUCGAGGCAACACGAAGAACCUUACCUGGGCUUGACAUGUACGUGGUAGUGAAGCGAAAGCGGAUCGACCCUUCGGGGAGCGUUCACAGGUGCUGCAUGGCUGUCGUCAGCUCGUGCCGUGAGGUGUUCGGUUAAGUCCGGUAACGAGCGCAACCCUCGCUGUUAGUUACAAGUGUCUAACGGGACUGCCGGUUUAAUACCGGAGGAAGGUGGGGAUGACGUCAAGUCAGCAUGGCCUCUAUGUCCAGGGCUACACACACGCUACAAUGGCCGGUACAGUGGGUUGCCAAACCGCGAGGUGGAGCUAAUCCUCAAAGCCGGUCUCAGUUCGGAUUGUAGGCUGCAACUCGCCUGCAUGAAGUCGGAGUUGCUAGUAACCGCGCGUCAGCUAUAGCGCGGUGAAUACGUUCCCGGGCCUUGUACACACCGCCCGU